rnacentral:tRNA from 1 species
GCGGGUAUGGCGGAAUUGGCAGACGCGCCAGACUUAGGAUCUGGUGAAUCUUUCGUGCAGGUUCGACCCCUGUUACCCGCACCA